UCACAGCCGAACAGAAAUAAGUCCAUAGAAGUAGGAAAAGGGAAGAGAGUGGCUCUACACUAAUAGUAUCUCUAUGUACUUUUCAGGAAGUUGGACAAAGAGCGGUCGCUGCUUGUGUCUGGAACGGGCUCAGCUCGUCAAAGAGCAAAGAUGCUGUGCCUUCAAAGUUGGACCUCACAUCUCACAAAUUAUUCAAAACCACUUCAAAGGAUGUUAUGUGAAGCCAGUGCUAAACUACCAGCGUUAACGUUGUUCACCAAGGCAAUCCUGAUUGUGGAUGAUUUGUUGCACUUUCAGUGUUGAUUGAUCCUGCUGGUGUGUUCAUUUCAUAUCAUGAAUAAAAUUCCAAGGGAACGUUGGGCA
rnacentral:lncRNA from 1 species